GCCUUGUUUUCACGAAAGGCGCCAUCACGAUCGGGUAGGGGAAAUUGGGUCGUGACAAAAGUACUAAUAAAGUAAAGUUUUUACUCCGCGCUCAGUUAUAAUUUAUGAAUGAUGCUUAGCUGGUCUUUUCGGAUGAUCAGUCACACUGGGAUUGAGGCACGACCCGGGCUCCCAUGGGGGAGGAGGAAUCUUGGACAAUGGGCAAAAGCCCGAUCCAGC
rnacentral:ncRNA from 1 species